UUCUUCUUCUUCUUCUUCUUCUUCUUCUUCAAUUGUGGUUCCAUAUCAAGAUUCUUCAAUAGUUUAGAAAAAUUGCCACUAUCAAAACUUUUGCCCUUCUCUUUUAUGAAAUUCUUCAGAAAUGUUGAUAUAUUGGCUAUAGCGCUUUGUGGGUUGGGUAACAGGAGGAAUAAGACCGCAAGAGGAAGUUGGUAAUGAUUAAAUUUAAAAUUAUCAUUAGAUUCCUUUCUGGUUAAUUUUUCUUUAUAUUUUGUAAUGAUUACAUAGAGAAGCUAGUGCACUAAUUCACAUUACUAACUUACAAAUAUUAUCCAGAUGUAAAUUUAUUGUUCUUUUCUUCAACUAUUCCUAUAUUUUUCUUCGUGUUCUUCCUGUUUUUCUCCGUAACUCUUGCUUUCUUAUUUAAUUGGAUAUAAUUUUCUUUUUUCUUGGUCAUAAGAUGGGUUCUUCUUGCUAGGUAUAUUCCUAAAUUUCUAAAUUUCAGUGGUUGAUGUAAACUCAACUGAAAAUUCUAAUGGCCAAUGAAGAACAAGUAAAUAUGAGCAAAUAAAAGUUGUCUUCCUUCUUUUGUUUUUCAUCGGGUCAUCCAAAUCCAUGUGAGGUACACGUGGCUUGUUAAAGUUAACAACAAGUUUUGAAAAAUCUGUUAGUUUUAGGGCUCAACGACCAAAUCCAUCUACUUUUAAAGGACUAUAUCUAUCAAGGGUGACAUAUGAAGGACCAAAAAAACCAACCCCAAUACAAUAAGGACAAUUUUGAUAUAACAUUAAAGGCUGCUAGUGAAGCCCACGUUAGAGCCAUCCGUGACAAAUGCAUAUCAAAAAGGAAGUUCAGGUGGGGGCCAUAUGAGAAAAGGUACACACACUGUAGCACUAAGUGCAACAUAGUUAAAGCACAAAGUAAUUGCAAUUUUACCAAAAUAACCCUGACGACCCCAAGCUCCUGUGAUAAAAUUUCAACACAACAAUAACAACAACAACCCAGUAAAAUCUCACAAGGGGUCUGGGGAGGGUAGUGUGUACGCAGACCUUACCCCUACUCCGGUGGAGUAGAGAGGCUGUUUCCGAUAGACCCUCGGCUAUUAUAACAUAUUUGACCAAAAGGUUAAAACGAAAAAGAAAACAAAAAGGCAGCUCGGAAUACAAAGCAUUUCUUUUGAAAUAAAAGAUUAUUCAUAAUGGUUGAAAGAAAAUAGCAGCUUAUCAAGGAAUUCUGACAACAAACAUCAAACUUAAGCAGGCACAGAUAACUAAGAGUAUAUUCAAACAUACUAAGUGGAAAUUCCCUAAAACAACAUAUUAAUCUAUAGCAACGGUUGACAUAAUAGACAACCAUGUGGUUCGUGAGGUGCCAUGUAACUUUGGGGCAUCAAAGAGAAUUGUCAUGUUGUUCAAGUAUUCUUUUGGUGAGAAAGGCUGUUCUAACUUUCCAAAUAUAUGGUUAAAUAAGACAUGAUGUUAAGAUAAACUAUGGAAUUAAAUUCAAACUUAACUAAUUCUUGAACCCAAAAGAAGUAAAAAGAAUAAGCAUAGCUAAUCCUAACUUUUUGGUCAGCAUAAUGUUAAGAGAGGAUGGUAAAUGGAACUAAGAAAGAGGUUCUUUUUAUCAGGUUGAAAAAUAUAUAAUAUAACCUUCACUUGGCCUUGGUCUUACCCAAAGUUCUUGAAAGUAUCCUUCCCCUCUCAACUACUAUUCUUCCAAUUUCUCUAAUCUAACUGAGGACCUACAUAUAGUCCUAUCACACAAAGCUAACUCCACAUGAAACUAAGUUCACUUCAGUUCAAUUCUACAUGGGUCCAAAUACCUAUUUUAACAACAUUAGCGAGCACUUCUUAGUGAUAAAUUUACCGUUCCAACAACAUAUUUAGCCUCAAUGGUUUGUUGAGGAUGCUAUUCGUUUUCCUGUAUAAAUCACAAUAUCAAAAGUAACAAACUUUUGCAGGAGACACUACUAAAUUCUACCAUGCUUAUACACCAAACAGAGUAGCAUCAGUCAAAUGUGAAUCAAGGUAUUGACGCAGUCACACAACCAAUAACCUGAAGAAUUUAUUCGGGUUAAUAUACGCAUACACCCUAGAAUCCAAAGAAUAACAUAAAUGACCGGCCAACAAUAUGUGAUAUUUCGCAAGUUCACCCCAUAUAUUUUUAUAGAUAUAUAUGUAAAGAUUAUAUAGAUAGAAGCGUUAGUCCAUAUUGUUUCCUAGAUAUUCUUAUGGUCAAAUCUGGUUAAAAUUUCCACAUUUCAUGGUUUCUAGUUGUUCCUUCAUUUAUUUUGGAUGCUUGCGCUCUUUGCAGCACGUUGUCGAUGCAUUUGAGUCAAGGUUAUUUGUAGUUAUCUCAUCCAAUAAACUUCAGUUCAAUAAAGGUAUUCUCUCCUGCAACAUUUCAUGACAGAAUCUUUACCUUUGGUCGAAAUAUUUCUUACAGUGAGCAGUCUGUUUGUAGCCUUCUCCUAAAGUUGCUAAAUUGCUCAACGCAAAUAACUAUGGUACUAUACUUACUGUAGAAAACUUCACAUUUCAAAGCACCUAAUCCAUUUAUCAUAAACAAUAUUCCAUCAUUUAAGAUUGAGAAAUAAACUACUCAAAGAAAAAUCAAGAUCUUGCUAACAUGGCUACUACACUAUUCUAAAUAACACCUAAUAACUAAAGAGAAACCACAUACUGGAAACCUCCUGUUAUUCUGUAGGAUGAGAACAAGUGCCCCAACAUUUGUGAUUGAGAUAAACUCAAAUCGGGCUUCAAAAAAUGAGCGAGACACAAGAUUUUGAAGUUAUAAUAUAACUAUUUUACUUCCCUUUGGACUUUUCUUUUGUAUUCAAACAAACACAUACAAGAAAAUCAUUAUUUUUCUUGUGUUUCCUUUAUUUUAUCUUUCUUAAAACUCAACUGCUCAUUGCUCUUUUGGUGUUCAAAAGGAUACAUAAAAAGAUAUAGCAGUAAAGGAUGAGCGAGUCACUAAGCAAUUGCUUGUGUGACAGGAAUUAAAAAGGAAAACACACUGAUUCGAUUACAUGUUUUCCCUUUUUUUGUGUGACAAAGUUCAUUUUUGCUUUCUUGUAUACUAAUCAAGCAGUCAACUACUCAAUUCUGAACUGAUUGGAUCAGUAAUUAUUUCAUUCUAAUAGUGAGUUCAUAUAAAUAGCUCUUUGAAUCUAAUUAUCCCAAGCGCAGAGGAAAUGUAAUCUUUUAACACGCUUCUAGGUUAGCAGCCUACCGACCGUACUGUAGACAAUUCCCAGCACAGCGCAUCGCUAAGGUCAUCUUAAGUUGAUUUUUUAGUAUCAAUAAAUCGAAAAGCUGGUUUUAUUUAACCACCAAGUUGAUAGUUUAGGAAGGCAAAAAUUAAUUAUACAAAUAUAUGCCAAAACAGUCUAUGCAUUAUGGAAAUAGCAAAAGAAUCCGUCUCAAAUACGCACAGGCCGUCAGCCUCUGAAAAAUAUGUCAAAGGCCCAGAUACCACACUUAUUGUCAAAUAAACUGACAGAAAACAAUUGAAACAACCUCAACGCACAACUGAGAAAAUAAGAAGCGCCGUUCAAAUUAAUUGACAGAGAACAAAGAUAACAAAUUCAACAUUCACCUAAGAUGAAGAGGUCAGAUAUCGAACAAAGAAACAAAGGUAUUUGAUGAUAUAUAUGAUCAGCAAAAAACAUAGUAAAAGCGAGAAGAAAAACAUAACAAAUAGUUAGUAAUUGAAGCGGUCACUUCGUCCUUGCUAACUCAACUGAUAAGUUUGGUCGUUCAAGUAUUUUUUCAAACACAUAAGCCAUAGAGAAGACAGAAAUAUGAAUAAGAAAUUUAACAAAUAUGAUAAUUCAUUGAAGAAUUUUCUCAAACACCUAGAGAACUUUAAUAGAAAUGAUAUUCGUUCAAGAAUUUUCUCAAAUAUUCCUCAAGACAAAUACAAAUAAAGAUGAAACAAGAGAUGGUAGAAGGGAUACCCACCAGAAAAUACGAUUGACGGAAGACACACUGCAGUACAAACUUGAGAGUAAGAGGUGAGAGAGAGAGAGAGAGCAGAUGUUCUGGAGCGUUACUUUUCUGGAGAUGCCGUUACUUCUCCGCGUUGGUUCGAGAUUUUUAGCUGAGAAACCAGGGGUGCUUCCACAUGUUAAAACUGGAACCAAAUGUGGAGCGAUGGACUGAAUAGCUUUGAAAUGACAGAAGUAUCCUCAGAUUAAUUUUUAUUUCCAUGGAAGCACACAUGUUGACCUAGAGGAGCCUGAUAUUCC
rnacentral:lncRNA from 1 species